UCUCCGUUGGUGAACCAGCGGAGGGAUCAUUACCGAGUGCAAACUCAUAACCCUUUGUGAACCUAUAUCUGUUGCUUCGGCGGCUCGCUCUCGGGCGAGCCCGCCGGUAAUAUCAAUAUCUCUGUUUGAACCCGACGAUACUUCUGAGUGUUCUUAGCGAACAGUUAAAACUUUUAACAACGGAUCUCUUGGCUCUA
rnacentral:misc_RNA from 1 species